rnacentral:rRNA from 1 species
GACGAACGCUGGCGGCGUGCUUAACACAUGCAAGUCGAGCGGUAAGGCCCUUUCGGGGGUACACGAGCGGCGAACGGGUGAGUAACACGUGGGUGACCUGCCCUUAGCUCUGGGAUAAGCCUGGGAAACUGGGUCUAAUACCGGAUAUGACUCCAUGACGCAUGUUGUGGGGUGGAAAGCCUUGUGCGGCUAGGGAUGGGCCCGCGGCCUAUCAGCUUGUUGGUGGGGUGAUGGCCUACCAAGGCGACGACGGGUAGCCGGCCUGAGAGGGCGACCGGCCACACUGGGACUGAGACACGGCCCAGGCUCCUACGGGAGGCAGCAGUGGGGAAUCUUGCGCAAUGGGGCGAAAGCCUGACGCAGCGACGCCGCGUGAGGGAU